UCGCAAGCGAAUUCGCCCUUACGGCUACCUUGUUACGACUUCACCCCAGUUACCGGGCCUGCCUUCGGCGGCUCCUUCUUUCGUUAGGGCACCGACUUCGGGCAUUCCCGACUCCCAUGGUGUGACGGGCGGUGUGUACAAGACCCGGGAACGUAUUCACCGCGGCGUUCUGAUCCGCGAUUACUAGCGAUUCCGGCUUCAUGCAGCCGAGUUGCAGGCUGCAAUCCGAACUGAGACGCCUUUUUUGGGCUUCGCUCCACAUCACUGUCUCGCUUCCCUCUGUCGACGCCAUUGUAGCACGUGUGUAGCCCUGGCCAUAAGGGGCAUGAUGAUUUGACGUCGUCCCCGCCUUCCUCCUGGUUAUCCCAGGCUGUCCCCCUAGAGUGCCCACCUCUACGUGCUGGCUACUAAGGGUAAGGGUUGCGCUCGUUGCGGGACUUAACCCAACAUCUCACGACACGAGCUGACGACAACCAUGCACCACCUGUCUCCAAUGCCCCGAAGGGCUGCAGGCAUUGCCCUGCAUUCAUCGGGAUGUCAAGGCCAGGUAAGGUUCUUCGCGUUGCUUCGAAUUAAACCACAUGCUCCACCGCUUGUGCGGG
rnacentral:rRNA from 1 species